rnacentral:rRNA from 1 species
UGGGGAAUAUUGCACAAUGGGCGGAAGCCUGAUGCAGCAACGCCGCGUGAGGGAUGACGGCCUUCGGGUUGUAAACCUCUUUUAGCAGGGAAGAAGCGAGAGUGACGGUACCUGCAGAAAAAGCGCCGGCUAACUACGUGCCAGCAGCCGCGGUAAUACGUAGGGCGCAAGCGUUAUCCGGAAUUAUUGGGCGUAAAGAGCUCGUAGGCGGUUUGUCGCGUCUGCUGUGAAAUCCCGAGGCUCAACCUCGGGCCUGCAGUGGGUACGGGCAGACUAGAGUGCGGUAGGGGAGAUUGGAAUUCCUGGUGUAGCGGUGGAAUGCGCAGAUAUCAGGAGGAACACCGAUGGCGAAGGCAGAUCUCUGGGCCGUAACUGACGCUGAGGAGCGAAAGGGUGGGGAGCAAACAGGCUUAGAUACCCUGGUAGUCCACCCGUAACGUUGGGAACUAGUUGUGGGACCAUUCCACGGUUUCCGUGACGCAGCUAACGCAUUAAGUU